rnacentral:rRNA from 1 species
AGUGAACGCUGGCGGUAGGCCUAACACAUGCAAGUCGAACGGCAGCACAGUAAGAGCUUGCUCUUACGGGUGGCGAGUGGCGGACGGGUGAGGAAUACAUCGGAAUCUACUUUUUCGUGGGGGAUAACGUAGGGAAACUUACGCUAAUACCGCAUACGACCUACGGGUGAAAGCAGUGGAUCUUCGGACCUUUCGCGAUUGAAUGAGCCGAUGUCGGAUUAGCUAGUUGGCGGGGUAAAGGCCCACCAAGGCGACGAUCCGUAGCUGGUCUGAGAGGAUGAUCAGCCACACUGGAACUGAGACACGGUCCAGACUCCUACGGGAGGCAGCAGUGGGGAAUAUUGGACAAUGGGCGCAAGCCUGAUCCAGCCAUACCGCGUGGGUGAAGAAGGCCUUCGGGUUGUAAAGCCCUUUUGUUGGGAAAGAAAAGCAGCAGGUUAAUCCCCCGCUGUUCUGACGGUACCCAAAGAAUAAGCACCGGCUAACUUCGUG